UUCCGGUUGAUCCUGCCGGACCUGACUGCUAUCGGAUUGAUACUAAGCCAUGCGAGUCAUUGUAGCAAUACAAGGCAUACGGCUCAGUAACGCGUAGUCAACCUAACCUAUGGACGAGAAUAACCUCGGGAAACUGAGAAUAAUGCCCGAUAGAACACUAUACCUGGAAUGGUUUGUGUUCCAAAUGAUUUAUCGCCGUAGGAUGGGACUGCGGCCUAUCAGUUUGUUGGUGAGGUAAUGGCCCACCAAGACUAUUACAGGUACGGGCUCUGAGAGGAGUAGCCCGGAGAUGGGUACUGAGACACGGACCCAGGCCCUAUGGGGCGCAGCAGGCGAGAAAACUUUGCAAUGUGCGAAAGCACGACAAGGUUAAUCCGAGUGGUUUCUGCUAAAGGAACCUUUUGUUAGUCCUAGAAACACUAACGAAUAAGGGGUGGGCAAGUUCUGGUGUCAGCCGCCGCGGUAAAACCAGCACCUCAAGUGGUCAGGAUGAUUAUUGGGCCUAAAGCAUCCGUAGCCGGCUCUGUAAGUUUUCGGUUAAAUCUGUACGCUUAACGUACAGGCUGCCGGGAAUACUGCAUAGCUAGGGAGUGGGAGAGGUAGACGGUACUCGGUAGGAAGGGGUAAAAUCCUUUGAUCUAUUGAUGACCACCUGUGGCGAAGGCGGUCUACCAGAACACGUCCGACGGUGAGGGAUGAAAGCUGGGGGAGCAAACCGGAUUAGAUACCCGGGUAGUCCCAGCUGUAAACUAUGCAAACUCAG
rnacentral:rRNA from 1 species